GAUGAACGCUGGCGGCGUGCCUAAUACAUGCAAGUCGAGCGAACGGACGAGAAGCUUGCUUCUCUGAUGUUAGCGGCGGACGGGUGAGUAACACGUGGAUAACCUACCUAUAAGACUGGGAUAACUUCGGGAAACCGGAGCUAAUACCGGAUAAUAUUUUGAACCGCAUGGUUCAAAAGUGAAAGACGGUCUUGCUGUCACUUAUAGAUGGAUCCGCGCUGCAUUAGCUAGUUGGUAAGGUAACGGCUUACCAAGGCAACGAUGCAUAGCCGACCUGAGAGGGUGAUCGGCCACACUGGAACUGAGACACGGUCCAGACUCCUACGGGAGGCAGCAGUAGGGAAUCUUCCGCAAUGGGCGAAAGCCUGACGGAGCAACGCCGCGUGAGUGAUGAAGGUCUUCGGAUCGUAAAACUCUGUUAUUAGGGAAGAACAUAUGUGUAAGUAACUGUGCACAUCUUGACGGUACCUAAUCAGAAAGCCACGGCUAACUACGUGCCAGCAGCCGCGGUAAUACGUAGGUGGCAAGCGUUAUCCGGAAUUAUUGGGCGUAAAGCGCGCGUAGGCGGUUUUUUAAGUCUGAUGUGAAAGCCCACGGCUCAACCGUGGAGGGUCAUUGGAAACUGGAAAACUUGAGUGCAGAAGAGGAAAGUGGAAUUCCAUGUGUAGCGGUGAAAUGCGCAGAGAUAUGGAGGAACACCAGUGGCGAAGGCGACUUUCUGGUCUGUAACUGACGCUGAUGUGCGAAAGCGUGGGGAUCAAACAGGAUUAGAUACCCUGGUAGUCCACGCCGUAAACGAUGAGUGCUAAGUGUUAGGGGGUUUCCGCCCCUUAGUGCUGCAGCUAACGCAUUAAGCACUCCGCCUGGGGAGUACGACCGCAAGGUUGAAACUCAAAGGAAUUGACGGGGACCCGCACAAGCGGUGGAGCAUGUGGUUUAAUUCGAAGCAACGCGAAGAACCUUACCAAAUCUUGACAUCCUUUGACAACUCUAGAGAUAGAGCUUUCCCCUUCGGGGGACAAAGUGACAGGUGGUGCAUGGUUGUCGUCAGCUCGUGUCGUGAGAUGUUGGGUUAAGUCCCGCAACGAGCGCAACCCUUGAGCUUAUUUGCCAUCAUUAAGUUGGGCACUCUAAGUUGACUGCCGGUGACAAACCGGAGGAAGGUGGGGAUGACGUCAAAUCAUCAUGCCCCUUAUGAUUUGGGCUACACACGUGCUACAAUGGACAAUACAAAGGGCAGCGAAACCGCGAGGUCAAGCAAAUCCCAUAAAGUUGUUCUCAGUUCGGAUUGUAGUCUGCAACUCGACUACAUGAAGCUGGAAUCGCUAGUAAUCGUAGAUCAGCAUGCUACGGUGAAUACGUUCCCGGGUCU
rnacentral:rRNA from 1 species